ensembl:misc_RNA 7SK 7SK RNA
GGAUGUGAGGGCGAUCUGGCCACGACAUCUGUUACCCCAUUGAUCUCCACGGUUGAUUCGGCUGAUCUGGCUGGCUAGGCGGGUGUCCCCUCCCUCACUGCUCCAUGUGUGUCCCUCCCGAAGCUGCGCGCUCGGUCGAAGAGGACAACCUUCCCCGAUAGAGGAGGACCGUUCUUCAGUCAAGGGUAUACGAGUAGCUGCGCUCCCCUACUGGAACCUCCAAACAGGCUCUCAAGAAACAGGGCCUAACAAGCCCCCCUCCCUUUGUAAAUAACCACCUUCCUGGGCUUGGU